UACGGGGGGAGCAAGCGUUGUUCGGAUUUACUGGGCGUAAAGGGCGCGUAGGCGGCCACCGCAAGUCGACUGUGAAAUCUCCGGGCUUAACCCGGAAAGGUCAGCCGAUACUGCGGGGCUAGAGUGCAGAAGGGGCAACUGGGAAUUCUCGGUGUAGCGGUGAAAUGCGUAGAUAUCGAGAGGAACACCUGCGGCGAAGGCGGGUUGCUGGGCUGACACUGACGCUGAUGCGCGAAAGCUAGGGGGAGCGAACGGG
rnacentral:rRNA from 1 species